rnacentral:lncRNA from 1 species
CCCACUUCCUCCCGAGAACAGCGCAUGCAGUGUGAACCUCGCGUCCCUGCUCCAACCCAACCUACCUGGCUCCACUGACGAGAAAGACCUGCUUUACACGCCAGUGUUCCAGGGACAGACGCCUGGCCCAUCCGCUUGGGAGCCGUCCAGAUAACUCUCAGCCCCCAAGGCAACCACCAGCCAACACUGAAGACGGUGCAGGAGUCAGAAGGAGCAGGGAGAACUUGCCAGGGCACCAGGGCCUCCCCAGAGCCAGGAACCCACAGGUGACACACACUCCAAGGGCCCAGCCUCCUCCCGGGGCUCUGUCCCCCGUUCCAGGGGGACCAGAAGAGGCCUCUGACGAGCCCCCGCGCCACAGAGCUGAGUCCGGUCUCAAGAACUGCAUCCUUCAUGAUUAGAGCCCAGCAGGAAUUUACCCAUGGGUUUUUCGAGCAUCUAUAUUUGUCCUUUGCUGUGUCACAACUGUCAACAAAAUAACAUUGUAAUGAUAAAGCUGCCAUUUCUUGUCUGUAAACUCUGCUCCAACCUCUAGC